rfam:Myotis davidii contig200108, whole genome shotgun sequence.
GCCCUAGUUUGCUCAGUGGGUAGAGCAUUGGUCUGCAGACUGAAGGGUCCCAGGUUUGAAUCUUGUCAAGGGCA